rnacentral:tRNA from 1 species
GUCUUUGUAGUAUAAUAAUUACCUUGGUCUUGUAAACCAAAAACGGAGACUUAACCCUCCCUAAGACA